GGAGGUAUAGCUCAGUAGGUAGAGCAUCGGCCUUUUAAGCCGCUGGUCCUAGGUUCGAAUCCUAGUGCCCC
rnacentral:tRNA from 1 species